rnacentral:misc_RNA from 1 species
GAUGAAGAACGCAGCGAAAUGCGAUACGUAAUGUGAAUUGCAGAAUUCAGUGAAUCAUCGAGUCUUUGAACGCACAUUGCGCCCCCUGGUAUUCCGGGGGGCAUGCCUGUCCGAGCGUCAUUGCUGCCCUCAAGCACGGCUUGUGUGUUGGGCCUCCGUCCUCCUCCCGGGGGACGGGCCCGAAAGGCAGCGGCGGCACCGCGUCCGGUCCUCGAGCGUAUGGGGCUUCGUCACCCGCUCUUGUAGGCCCGGUCGGCGCUUGCCGACACACCAAUCUUUUUUCCAGGUUGACCUCGGAUCAGGUAGGGAUACCCGCUGAACUUAAGCAUAUCAAUAAGCGGAGGA